rnacentral:rRNA from 1 species
UACGGAAGGCAGCAGUGGGGAAUAUUGCACAAUGGGCGCAAGCCUGAUGCAGCCAUGCCGCGUGUAUGAAAAAGGCCUUCGGGUUGUAAAGUACUUUCAGUCGUGAGGAAGGUGUUAAGGUUAAUAACCUUAGCAAUUGACGUUAGCGACAGAAGAAGCACCGGCUAACUUCGUGCCAGCAGCCGCGGUAAUACGGAGGGUGCGAGCGUUAAUCGGAAUUACUGGGCGUAAAGGGCACGCAGGCGGUUAAUUAAGUUGGAUGUGAAAUCCCCGGGCUUAACCUGGGAAUGGCAUUCAAGACUGGUUAGCUAGAGUCUUGUAGAGGGGGUAGAAUUCCAUGUGUAGCGGUGAAAUGCGUAGAGAUGUGGAGGAAUACCGGUGGCGAAGGCGGCCCCUGGGACAAAGACUGACGCUCAUGUGCGAAAGCGUGGGGAGCAAAC